rnacentral:lncRNA from 1 species
CGUGAGAGAACCAUGGAAGAACUGCCGCCUUCUUCCUCAACAAUCGACCACCACCCGCCACCUAGACCACCGGAUCCCACUACCAUUCGAACCCCCUCACCUUCCUCUUCAACCUCUUGUCGUCACCUAACUGUUAUUCCUCUUCCAUUGUUUCUUACUUUCAGAAAUCAAAAGAAUUCUCCAUGGAAGCAAGCCGUUUUAAGCGUUCAUCAUAGCGAGAAGAGGAGGUGGUAAUUUCUCUUGUUUAAAUCUUCUCUUUGUAUGUCAUGAUGUAACUUAUUUGUUGAAUUAUUAUCAUCUUUGCCUUCUACUGCCAAAACCCUCGAGGUUAAAACCGUUCUUCAUUAAUCCUUUUUUUUUUUUCAUUUUUCAAGGGGAAAUUUAAAAAUGACUGUUGAUUCUCGUGAAAUCUUCAAUUUUACAUUUAUGGGAAACUUCAAAGAAAACUUAAUCUAUUUAGAAAUUAGGCGUGGCUGGUUUCAUGAAUCAAGUAGAUGAUGAUUAAAAUUUUACAUUAAUUUAGAAGUUAAAAAAUUAUUGGAAAGAUGUUAGGUCUUCAUUUUACAUUAAAAAAAAAAAAGGAAUCCCAUGUUAUUUUCGUGAAUUAAUAGUGAAUCCAUUUAAAUCUGGACAGAAUGAUGAAUGGAAGAUUACAAAAAUUUCUCCACAUUCUUCUUUGUAUGCUGAUUGUGAUAAGAACAUAAGGAUUUUUGGUUGAUAUUACUUAUGUUCAAAGUGUUGUGGCAAAAGGAGCAGGUAAAACAUUAAGGGUCAACAUUUAGAACAAAAUAUUUUUCUGCUUUGUGCUCGCAGUUUGUUUAGACGGUAGUAGUUUGUUUAGACGGUAGUCCACCAGCAUAUCAUUUUGAUAGGGG